UGCAGGUAGGAAGAGGCAACCAGGGAAGACAGGACCAGAUAGGGACACUAGUGGGGAAGCUCAGAAGAUGAAUGAAAUAACAGGCACCUGGGAAAACCCACGAAGUAAGGUUUUGUAAGAAGUUGCUCUGCUCCCUGGGAGAAAAUGCGGAGCUCAACACUGCCAAGAGGAACAAGUCUGGGAAAUUACGACAUGAGAGGGCCCUUGUGAAUUGAUGAAUAUGAAGACACUAAGAAAGC
rnacentral:lncRNA from 1 species